UUGAGCGGAGAUAUAUGGAGCUUGCUUUAUAUAACUUAGCAGCGAACGGGUGAGUAACACGUAGAUAAUCUAUCCUAUACUGGGGGAUAGCCCGAUGAAAGUUGGAUUAAUACCGCAUAUAGCUAUAUAGUUGCAUGAUUAUGUAGUGAAAGAUUUAUUGGUAUAGGAGGAGUCUGCGGCACAUUAGCUAGUAGGUGAGGUAAAGGCUUACCUAGGCGACGAUGUGUAGCCGGUCUGAGAGGAUGAACGGCCACAAUGGAACUGAGACACGGUCCACACUCCUACGGGAGGCAGCAGUGGGGAAUAUUGCACAAUGGGGGAAACCCUGAUGCAGCAACGCCGCGUGAGUGAAGAAGGUUUUCGGAUUGUAAAGCUCUGUUAGCAGGGAAGAGGAAGGACGGUACCUGCAGAGGAAGCCACGGCUAACUACGUGCCAGCAGCCGCGGUAAUACGUAGGUGGCAAGCGUUGUUCGGAAUAACUGGGCGUAAAGGAUGCGUAGGCGGUUAAACAAGUUAUAUGUUAAAUAUAUAGGCUUAACCUGUAGAAAGCAUAUAAAACUGUUUAACUAGAGUGCAGGAGAGGUAAGUGGAAUUCCUAGUGUAGCGGUGAAAUGCGUAGAGAUUAGGAAGAACACCAGUGGCGAAGGCGACUUACUGGACUGUAACUGACGCUGAGGCAUGAGAGCAUGGGGAGCAAACAGGAUUGGAUACCCUGGUAGUCCAUGCUGUAAACGAUGGGUACUAGGUGUGGGUUGUGAAUAACAAUUCGUGCCGUCG
rnacentral:rRNA from 1 species